rnacentral:rRNA from 1 species
GAGUUUGAUCGUGGCUCAGGAUGAACGCUGGCGGCGUGCCUAAUACAUGCAAGUCGAGCGAACGGACGAGAAGCUUGCUUCUCUGAUGUUAGCGGCGGACGGGUGAGUAACACGUGGAUAACCUACCUAUAAGACUGGGAUAACUUCGGGAAACCGGAGCUAAUACCGGAUGAUAUUUUGAACCGCAUGGUUCAAAAGUGAAAGACGGUCUUGCUGUCACUUAUAGAUGGAUCCGCGCUGCAUUAGCUAGUUGGUAAGGUAACGGCUUACCAAGGCAACGAUGCAUAGCCGACCUGAGAGGGUGAUCGGCCACACUGGAACUGAGACACGGUCCAGACUCCUACGGGAGGCAGCAGUAGGGAAUCUUCCGCAAUGGGCGAAAGCCUGACGGAGCAACGCCGCGUGAGUGAUGAAGGUCUUCGGAUCGUAAAACUCUGUUAUUAGGGAAGAACAUAUGUGUAAGUAACUGUGCACAUCUUGACGGUACCUAAUCAGAAAGCCACGGCUAACUACG